rnacentral:lncRNA from 1 species
UUGGAAUUGAGAUAAUACUCCAGAGAAAUUUGACUUUACUUUUUUUUGUUUCCGAAGUAACUCUCAUCAACUAGCACUAGUUUGAGGUGAACUAGCACUAGUUUGAUGUCAACCUUUAGGAGUAAUUCAUCAAAUCGGUUAAAUCUAAAAUAAUAACAUACUCUUUAUUUAAUACGAUCCCACUAUAUAUAUCGAUUUAUAUAGAGAUUCACCGACUACAUUUCAGCCAUCCAGCGAUCCUGAUCUAUUUGAAAAUUGCUAGAAUUUCUAUAUCCAUAUAUCAUAUUUCUGCAGGCCUAAGAGUUUUUUCCUUUAUGUUCGGUGGAAAUCGCAUGUUAUACUACAUUCCACUAAAUAGAUAU